rnacentral:rRNA from 1 species
GGAAGGGGGAACCUGAAUGCAGCGCCGCCCGCGGGGAGGGAGGAAGGGCUUUCGGAUCGUUAAACUUCCCCCCUUCAGGGAAAAAAGGGACAGUACCUGACUAAGAAGCCCCGGCUAGCUACGUGCCAGAAGCCGCGGGUAUUACGACUUGCUCUCCCCCGCGGGGAUACGAGA